UAAGCUGCGUUGUGGAUUUUUUCCUGCUGGUGUGUAUGGCCAGUAUCACGAGAAUAAACUGCUAACAACUUUAUCAGUGGCCAGUAUCACGAGAAUGACUUCACGGCAGUAUUGUGGGUUUGCGGAAAAGCUUAGCGGUGAUCGGUGUGGUGCUUAUCCAAGAGCUGUUCUCCCUGCACCUUUCAAUUCUCAUUCUGUAUCUCCAAAUUUUUCAUAAUGCCUUUGUUUUCUUGCCGUCUUCGUCAAUCACGAGCAGUCGUCGUUCGUGCCGGUGGUGGUGUGGUGCUCUUGGUGCUGUUGGAUCUCGUCUCCCCUGUCACGCCUUUGUUUUCUGCACUAAGGAUCUUUGGACUCAAAGUCAAUGGGUGUGGCCAAGUGGAAAACUCCAGUGCAGCCUUUAAUGGCUUCAUCAAAGCUUCCCUCUUCUGCAAGGUUAGCCUUCCAUAGUGACAGCUUGCUCUUUGCACCUGGUAUUUCUAGCAAGUGCUUCACCUCCUUCAUGUUAUCUGUAAGGUGCACAUUCAUAUUAAUAGAGUUAUGAAAAUUUAUUUUAGUUUAAAAAUGAAAGACUUAUUUUAUAUUUGAGUAAUACUAUCAUAACACACUUUUACAUUCA